CGGUUUAGAUAUUGAUAUCACUCAAAUUACCCUAAUGAGUAAAUUACUCUCUCAAAUAAGAGGUUCAGAUGUAGUACUUAGUGAUCAAAUCCACAUAGACUCUAGGGUUACACAAUAGAUUUACAGUCUUCAAAAUAAAGUUAGAUUAAUAGAUAUUAAGCAGUAAUACUUUGUAUUAACCAAGCUGUUUACUCACUUUUUUUUUUUUUUUUUUUUAAAAAAAGUUUCAUUUAAUAAUUCUCCCAUAGAAGAUAUCACACAGUUACAAGAGAAAAGGAAUUAAGCAAAAUUGGUACAACCUAAGAAUUAGGAAGCAUGAUGCAUAAGAACUUAACCAAAUUGGCAUAAUCCCUUAUAUAUUAAAGCAUAAGUCACUUGAACACAUAUAUCAUUGUUUUACAAUUUUUUUUUUUAAAUUACACUGCAUUCCUUUAUUUUCAGAAAACUUUGUAAUUGCCAAAAAAAUAAUCGAGGACCUCUUAAAAAACAAAAGACAAUCAAAAGUAACAAAUUCUUUAACCGCCAAAAAAGUAAUCCAUGACCUCACUUGUGUCCAAAAUCAAGCAAGGGUAGAUGCUACAUGUUGCAGAGUGGAACGAGUUGCUUCUUCACUGGAAAAUUUACCAAAGCCGGUGGCCGCAUCCAAACUCUGAAGAACAAAUCUGAAAUUGAUUCUAUUUGCUUAAAUGCCU
rnacentral:lncRNA from 1 species